UAGAGUUUGAUCCUGGCUCAGGAUGAACGCUGGCGGCGUGCCUAAUACAUGCAGGUCGAGCGAAUGGAUUAAGAGCUUGCUCUUAUGAAGUUAGCGGCGGAUGGGUGAGUAACACGUGGGUAACCUGCCCAUAAGACUGGGAUAACUCCGGGAAACCGGGGCUAAUACCGGAUAACAUUUUGAACCGCAUGGUUCGAAAUUGAAUGGCGGCUUCGGCUGUCACUUAUGGAUGGACCCGCGUCGCAUUAGCUAGUUGGUGAGGUAACGGCUCACCAAGGCAACGAUGCGUAGCCGACCUGAGAGGGUGAUCGGCCACACUGGGACUGAGACACGGCCCAGACUCCUACGGGAGGCAGCAGUAGGGAAUCUUCCGCAAUGGACGAAAGUCUGACGGAGCAACGCCGCGUGAGUGAUGAAGGCUUUCGGGUCGUAAAACUCUGUUGUUAGGGAAGAACAAGUGCUAGUUGAAUAAGCUGGCACCUUGACGGUACCUAACCAGAAAGCCACGGCUAACUACGUGCCAGCAGCCGCGGUAAUA
rnacentral:rRNA from 1 species